GUCUAUUGCCAUGCCACCUUGAACAAGCCUGAUCCCGUCUGAUCUCGUCAGCAAAGCAGGGGUGGGCCUGGUUAGUAUUUCAAUAGGGUACCACCUAGGAAGACCAGGUGCUGUAGGCA
ensembl:rRNA 5S_rRNA 5S ribosomal RNA